rnacentral:sRNA from 1 species
GGGCCCUACCGGAGGCCCCAGCGACUCCGGAAGAGAACGGAGUUUGCGGGAGAUAAGUUCAAGGAGGAGAAAGUGUUUGAGCCAAACGAGGAGGCCCUGGGGGUCGUGCUGCACAAGGACUCCAAGUGGUACCAGCAGUGGAAGGACUUCAAGGAGAACAACGUGGUGUUUAACCGGUUCUUCGAGAUGAAGAUGAAGUAUGACGAAAGCGACAACGCGUUCAUCCGGGCAUCCCGGGCCCUUACGGACAAGGUCACCGACUUGCUGGGGGGCCUGUUCUCCAAGACAGAGAUGUCGGAGGUGCUCACGGAGAUCCUCCGGGUGGACCCGGCCUUUGACAAGGACCGGUUUCUGAAACAGUGCGAGAACGACAUCAUCCCCAAUGUCCUGGAGGUGGGUGCCACACCCCCAGGACCCCUCCCAGGCGGCAGGUCCUGGCUCCACCACCUCCCCCGCCCCAGCCGGCACCCUGGGUGCUGCCAGGGAACUUCGCUGCCGAGGCUGUUUUCUGAGGAGGCUGGUUGCACAUGGGCUCCUGCCCGGCUGCAGCUGCCCCACGAGCUGUGCCCGAAGCCAUUCCUGGGCCUUACCGGUGCCUCCAGGUGCCGUUUCCCUCACUCCUCCUGCCUGAGGCUGUUGUUCCUUUGAGGUUGCUGGGAGCUGCUGCUGGAGGCUAGGGAUUGUCUCAGGUGCCUGGAGCCCCUCACCCCUUGGGAGAAGUGGGUGUCUGUCCUCA